CAGCAAUCUUCGGUUUAAAAAGGCGCUCCACCUUUCUCUUUACAGUUACUUGGCGGAAGAGGCUUACGAAUUCCCUGCUCUGGUCACCGGCAAUUCUCCCGUCUCAGUUUAAAAGAUGCACUGCAUUCUUUUCACCGCGAUUGGAAGUGGUUUACUGAUCCCACAUCACCUUCACCAGGCUUCUCUACCUAAUAAGCAGAUUCCUAUUCUGGACAGAAGAAAAGCUGAUAUGCUAAGAAAAACUCAGGGGUUACUCUUUUGCUGUCAUGGCUCAAAUUCCUUGCUCACCUACUGGACUGAGGUUCAGUUGUGUGAUUUAUGAUUGCAGUGAAAAGGGAAUACAUCUC